rnacentral:misc_RNA from 1 species
UUGACCAAAAAGAAAUCAAUUGAACUAUUGUAAAAUUCUAGUUUCCAAACAGGGGCAUGUUCAUUAGCUUCUUUAUACUGUAAGGCUUCCUUUAGAAUAAAUCAUUUGCAAUAAAAAAAUUCAAUUGAAUUCUUAUCCAAUCAUACUUGAUUUUUAUUUUUUAAAAAUGAUUUUUUUAAAAUUAAGAGAAAUAAAUUUCAUUCCAAAUAUGAGAAUUAAUAAAAAAAAAUCAAUUUCUUGUAAAAUUUUAGAUUCCAAACUAUUGUUAUUAAUUUAUUAAAGGCGUGUCUUGCGCUUAGGCUCUAGAACCCCUUAGCGCUUGCGCCUUUAAUAACUAUGUUCUAAACAGGGGAUAACUGAUUUGACUGACGAAAUAUCCUAGUCUAGUGAAAUGGUCUGCAUAGAUUUUGGCACAGUUGAAAUGUAACCAUCUAGUAAUUCAAUUGCAUCUGGACUGCAGUUAUUACAGUUAUUGUUAUCAAUUUACCAUCAUUAUUGCUAUCUGCUUGUUGUGCAUAGUAGUGAGAUGUAACUAGUAGUUUAUUCAGUAAUAUAUUGAUAGACGGUAUUUGAUAGACUGUGUUAUAUAUAUAUAUAUAAUCUUUUAUCUUGUUUAUAUUCCAUUGAGCUGCAAUAGACAAGUAAUUCCGUAAUAGCUGUAUUGCAGGGUAAUGAAAUACAUUAGGGGAAUUGCAAUACGGUAUAGGAACGGUAGUUGGAGUCUUAUUUUCUACUCCAAUUGCUAUUCUUAUAUUGAAUUUUCCGUUGUUUUUAUACAAGGAUAUAUUUUCCCCGUAAUUACAUUUCACCUUUCUUUCAUGUUUCCCAAAUGGUUAUCAGUUCACUAUGGAGAUGGGUGGCAUUGGUUCUGGGAAUGUACCUAG